CAGAAGUCAGGUCGGAUUAAGCCAUAGUACGGAAAAAACUAUGCUACCUGUGAGCCCCGUCCAAGGACGUUAAAAGAAGUCAGGCCACCACAAGUGCCAUAGCUUGAGUAAACUAUGCAGCCUGUAGCUCCACCUGAGAAGGUGUAAAAAAUCUGGGAGGCCACAAACCAUGGAAGCUGUACGCAUGGCGUAGUGGACUAGCGGUUAGAGGAGACCCCUCCCUUACAAAUCGCAGCAACAAUGGGGGCCCAAGGUGAGAUGAAGCUGUAGUCUCACUGGAAGGACUAGAGGUUAGAGGAGACCCCCCCGAAAUAAAAAAC
rnacentral:lncRNA from 1 species